rnacentral:lncRNA from 1 species
GAGCUGAGAAUCUACCAUGGUGAGGACAGCUGGCAGCAGGUCAGAAGAGGACUGAGAGAUCACAGAGAAAGAAAACCACAAUUAGGCCAGACUACCGACCCUCAAAACCUGCCCCAAGCGAUGUGCUGCCAGCAAGACUCCACCUCCUGAAGCUUCCAGAAACUCCCGUAGCAGCACCAUCAACAGGAGACCAAGGGUCAAGGUACCCAGCCUCUGGGGGGACAUCUGGCCUCUGGGGGACAUGCUCACUGAAGCCACUCAGUGGAGCUCUUCAUGUCUAAGCAACCUCAGGCUCACCUCAAGUCUGGGGUAUAGUGAUCAGUUUCCUUUACUCCUGGAAGGUUCUUAUUUAUCUUCCUAAGCUGCUAUAACAAAUCCCACAAACUGGGUAGUUUAAGACAGUGUAUAUUCUCUGUAUCCUAGAGAAGUCCAAGUGUUGCUAGGGCCAGGGCCAUGCUCCCUGAGAAAUGCGUGAGAGAUACUGCAUCUUGGUGAUUCUCUGGAAAGCCUUGGCAUUUCCUAUCUUGCAGUACCUCCUCCUUCGCCUCCUCCACCCCAUAGUGCCCUACUGUCUUUGUUGGCAUCCACAACCAACACCUGGAAAAGGAGAGGUUUGAAGUCACCUAAUUUAUCAGCAGCAAUAGCAGCACUUCGGAUGACCAGGGCAGCCCUUUCCCUCCAGCCCACAGAGCACGGGUUCUGAAGAACUCUGAGAGCAAUGGUACACCUUCAUGCCUGUGUUGUGCUGACAGAGUAUCUCAGAGCCCUGGCUGGAGUGGCACUAUUGGAAGGUCACUGAGACAGAGCAAUUGAGAAAAGACUGUGUGCCAGCGUUUGUCUGCAUCUG